AUUGAACGCUGGCGGCAGGCUUAACACAUGCAAGUCGAGCGGGGAAAGGUAGCUUGCUACCUGACCUAGCGGCGGACGGGUGAGUAAUGCCUAGGAAUCUGCCUAUUAGUGGGGGACAACAUUCCGAAAGGAAUGCUAAUACCGCAUACGACGUACGGGGGAAAGCAGGGGCACUUCGGACCUUGCGCUAAUAGAUGAGCCUAAGUCAGAUUAGCUAGUUGGUGGGGUAAAGGCCUACCAAGGCGACGAUCUGUAGCGGGUCUGAGAGGAUGAUCCGCCACACUGGGACUGAGACACGGCCCAGACUCCUACGGGAGGCAGCAGUGGGGAAUAUUGGACAAUGGGCGAAAGCCUGAUCCAGCCAUGCCGCGUGUGUGAAGAAGGCCUUUUGGUUGUAAAGCACUUUAAGCGAGGAGGAGGCUACCGAGAUUAAUACUCUUGGAUAGUGGACGUUACUCGCAGAAUAAGCACCGGCUAACUCUGUGCCAGCCGCCGCGGUAA
rnacentral:rRNA from 1 species